UACAACGUGUCAUCCAUGAUUUAUUUUCAGCACUCACAAAGUAAAGAGCAGAGAAGUAGAAUUUGUUAGAGGACACCUGUGCAUGUUUUCUGAAGUCUUCAAAGUGCAGGACAGGACACAUAGGUGUGCAGUUAUUUAGCAAAAUCAGGUUGAGAAUGUAACAAACGCAUGCUAUAGUUGACAGAAGCAUUGUUUACCACUAUAUGAUCAUCACUUUUGCAUACAUUUUGCCUCAGGUAAGAGGGCAGUUAUUUUUUUCAAAUCUAUACUUUGUGGGCUUUGCAAAGGCACUGACUAGUGUAUCGUAUUAGCUCUUGAAUAAAGAGAACACAAAUUCUUUAAGCAAAACAUUGGUCUGAGGUGGGUUUGUGCAACUGGGAUUGGUAAUAAAUGGAUACAGUAGGUCUAUGCAACUCUCAUGCUUCUGCACAUCAACAUAUACACAAAUAUAUAUCUGAACCUCAUAGUUAUCUAGUUUAAAAAGAAAAAAUACACUACAUGACCAAGAGUAUGUGGACACCUCACUCCAAAAUGAUGGGCAUUAAUAUGGAGUUGGUCCCCCCCUUUGCUGCUAUAACAGCCUCCACUCUUCUGGGAAGGCAUUACUAUGGAGUUGGUCCCCCCCUUUGCUGCUAUAACAGCCUCCACUCUUCUGGGAAGCCAUUGAUAUGGAGUUGGUCCCCCUUUGCUGCUAUAACAGCCUCCACUCUUCUGGGAAGUCAUUAAUAUGGAGUUGGUCCCCCUUUGCUGCUAUAACAGCCUCCACUCUUCUGGGAAGCCAUUAAUAUGGAGUUGGUCCCCCUUUGCUGCUAUAACAGCCUCCACUCUUCUGGGAAGUCAUUAAUAUGGAGUUGGUCCCCCUUUGCUGCCAUAACAGCCUCCACUCUUCUGGGAAGUCAUUAAUAUGGAGUUGGUCCCCCUUUGCUGCCAUAACAGCCUCCACUCUUCUGGGAAGUCAUUAAUAUGGAGUUGGUCCCCCUUUGCUGCUAUAACAGCCUCCACUCUUCUGGGAAGCCAUUAAUAUGGAGUUGGUCCCCCUUUGCUGCUAUAACAGCCUCCACUCUUCUGGGAAGUCAUUAAUAUGGAGUUGGUCCCCCCCUUUGCUGCUAUAACAGCCUCCACUCUUCUGGGAAGUCAUUAAUAUGGAGUUGGUCCCCCCCUUUGCUGCUAUAACAGCCUCCACUCUUACGGAAAGACUUGCCACUAGAUGUUGGAACAUCGCUGCGGGGACUUGAUUCCAUUUAGUAACAAGAGCAUUAGUGAGGUCGGACACUGAUGUUGGGCGAUCAAGCCUGGCGCGCAGUCGGCGUUCCAAUUCAUCCCAAACACAUUUCAUGAAGCUCCCGACCAACAGUUGUUGUGCUGACGUUGCUUCCAGAGGCAGUUUGGAACUUGGUAGUGAGUGUUGUAACCGAGGACAGACGCGCAUCAGCAAUCCCGUUCUGUGAGCUUCUGUGGCCUACCACUUCGCGGCUGAGCCGUUGUUGCUCCUAGACAUUUCCACUUCACAAUAACAGCACUUACAGUUGACAGGGGAAGCUCUAGCAGGGCAGACAUUUGACGAACUGACUUGUUGGAAAGGUGGCAUCCUAUGACGGUACCAAAUAUACAGUGCCUUGCGAAAGUAUUCGGCCCCCUUGAACUUUGCGACCUUUUGCCACAUUUCAGGCUUCAAACAUAAAGAUAUAAAACUG
ensembl:lncRNA